GAUGAACGCUGGCGGCGUGCUUAACACAUGCAAGUCGAACGAUGAAGCCCAGCUUGCUGGGUGGAUUAGUGUCGAACGGGUGAGUAACACGUGAGUAACCUGCCCUUAACUCUGGGAUAAGCCUGGGAAACUGGGUCUAAUACCGGAUAGGAGCGUCCACCGCAUGGUGGGUGUUGGAAAGAUUUAUCGGUUUUGGAUGGACUCGCGGCCUAUCAGCUUGUUGGUGAGGUAAUGGCUCACCAAGGCGACGACGGGUAGCCGGCCUGAGAGGGUGACCGGCCACACUGGGACUGAGACACGGCCCAGACUCCUACGGGAGGCAGCAGUGGGGAAUAUUGCACAAUGGGCGCAAGCCUGAUGCAGCGACGCCGCGUGAGGGAUGACGGCCUUCGGGUUGUAAACCUCUUUCAGUAGGGAAGAAGCGAAAGUGACGGUACCUGCAGAAGAAGCACCGGCUAACUACGUG
rnacentral:rRNA from 1 species